CACGUAGGGCGCAAGCGUUGUCCGGAAUUAUUGGGCGUAAAGAGCUCGUAGGCGGUCUGUUGCGUCUGCUGUGAAAACUCGAGGCUCAACCUCGAGACGUCGGCGGAAACCAUCUGGCUAGAGUCCGGAAGAGGAGAGUGGAAUUCCUGGUGUAGCGGUGAAAUGCGCAGAUAUCAGGAAGAACACCCGUGGCGAAGGCGGCUCUCUGGGACGGUACUGACGCUGAGACGCGAAAGCGUGGGGAGCGAACAGG
rnacentral:rRNA from 1 species